AUAAAAUGACAAAAUUCCGUGUGAACUCCGACACAAGGACCAAUGCAAUAGAUAGAUUUCUACGAAAUCUACCUAAAAAUUUUAAUGAAAUAAUUUUUUC